AUAAGAAAACCCAUCGUGAUUUUCGUAUGCUAAAAAGGUGUGAUUAAGGUAUUCUCUCAGAUACCUGUUUUUCCAAUUUCCUCAUCAAGGAUAGAACUCCACAAUCCCAUUACCAUUCCCACGAAUCCAUGAUACCUGUAUCACCAUUACUAAACCCACGAUAGGGUUUUUCAUACCUUUGUGAAUUUUCCAAUUUCUUCCCUAUAUAUACUGAUGCAAAGCUUAUUGUUUCCACAUAAAAUUGGCACAAGAGCGCUUUCAUAUCAAAUCUGCAACAGAUCAAUUGCAAGUUACUGAAUAUGGAGAGUGAUCAAUCAUCCAACCCCCAAACUGGAAGGACAACUUGGACUCCUCCCAUGGAUAGACUGUUCAUAGGUCUAAUGGAAGACCAAGUACAGAAAGAACAACUACUCGAUGGUCAAUUCAGCAAAUAUGCUUGAACACACUUUGUUCAUAAUUUCAAGCAGAGUUUUGGUUCUUCUUUUACCAAGGAUGUGUUGAAAAAUCGUAUGAAAACUUUGAAGAAGAACUAUGUUGUUGUGAGUACUCUUAGAGGUCAAAGUGGAUUUGGAUGGGAUCAGUCACGAGAAAUUGUGAUUUCUGAUGAUUGAAUGAAUAUUUUUCGUGGUUGUAGUAAUGAAGGUUCGAACUCAAAGACUUGUGAAGGUGAAGGAUUUUUAGAUUUAUAAAAAUUAUAUACAAAAAUAUUGACAAAUUGGUAGAGAGUACUGGGACUAAAGAUUCAGCCAUUUUUCAUUUUCAAGUGGUUUAGAAUUUAAUUCUAGGCGAUUAUAGUUUAAAACAAAAUGAAUAUUAACUCUAUUCUUUGCCAAAGUAGAUUUUAUAAAAUAUUACUUGUAUUUCUUAA